rnacentral:lncRNA from 1 species
AGACCAAAGGAGCACCACGUGAAGUCAGCAACGUGGAAGGAUUCCUAAGGGCCAGCAAACCUAAAAAAUGAAAUGGGUGACUGUCUGGAUGUUUGCUUGCUUGCUGAUUACAUCUCUAACCAGAGGUCAACCAGAUGUGACAUGCCAUGCAUUUGUGGGAGAAACUGUUGUGUUGCCUUGCAGCAUCACCCCUCCAGAAGAGCUGAACAUUUCCUACUCGAAGCUCUACUGGCAGAAAGAGGAUGACUUAGUGCAUUUCUUUCAUGAAGGGUGCAAUGAUCUGAAGUUUCAGGAUAAGCAAUACGAAGGCAGAACCAGUCUUUUUUCAAGUGAGGUGAAGCACGGCAACUUUUCCUUAAAGCUCUCCAACGUCCAGCCACAGGAUGAAGCUGUGUAUAGUUGCAUCUACAGCCAGUCUGGGCAUCAAACACAGAAAUUUAAAAUUAAGCUCGAAGUAUCAGGGAAUUGAAUAAAGCAUCUUUGAUAUGCAUCAGCACAAAAUGUCUGCAGAAGUAGCAGGAUUCCCAAGGACUCCACGCUGCCUGGCUCCUCCUCCUCCCUAGAUACUUUAAUGAGCUCUCCCAGACUUGUAAGCAUUUGGUUACUGAAGGCUCUGUACUGCCCAGGAUUCAUUUUGUCCCCAGAGAAAUGCAAAGUUUAUUUCAUUAUUUGUUCUUGCAUCUGUGAAGCAGAUUGCUGGCAAUCCAAAGUCCACGUUCCAAACAAGACGGUUGCUAAUUACCUUUUCCCUGGUCUGGAAGGCCUGGAUCUGAUUGCAAGGCUGGACUCCUACCAUGAGGAUAUUAUUUUUCUUCCUAGGAAAGCAACCAAGACCACAACACGUGCUUAAACAAUGCCAAGCAACUCAAGCAAUUUGCUUGCAUUGCCUACACGUGUAGCCAGUGAAUGGUGGGCUAUUUGGUUUGACCAGCUGACUGACUAAAAAAAGCAAAUUAAGAAAGGGGAUAAAAAUCAAAAUAAAUCCUUGUCUGUUAAGGUUGCUUGAAGAGAUCAGCUGGAAACCUUCGUUGCGGUCAACCACGCAUUUCAUUCAGCUUGAAACAAAGACUUGGUUUCAAGCAAUAUGAACUCUUUAAUAUCCUUGUUUUAAAGCAUGUAAUUCUCAAGAGACAAAUGUUUUAGAAAUGUAAACUGAAAUACUAGCAAAAUUAAUGUGCUACAUCUUUCAAAAUUAAUUUUUUAUUUUUAUUUUAUUUUAUUUUAUUUAUUUAUUUGAAAAUGCAGAACCAAACUGUUUUCAUCAAUUCAUUUUUGGGAGCUGUAAAGCAUCUUUUCCUCUGAUUUAAUUUUGUAACCAAAUUUAAGCUUUUGUUUGACAAAUGUUCUUUCUCAGAAGAAAUACUAACCCUUAAAUUGAUUACUGGUCCUAUUUCCUAAGCUAAAACAAAUAACUUUGAUUAUUGUGGGUUGUUUUUCCCAGACUCACCUAGCAUUGAGGAGAAACAUCAGUCUUCCAGUAAGGCAAUAAUCCUUUACCUGCUAAGUGCCUAAGCAAUUAGCUUUAAUCAAUUAAAUUAUUUGAAUUUGAAUUUGAGAGAGAGAUAAGCUGUGCUGAAUAGAGAAAGUCCAAGACACAUCAAACAAAAUACAAACUUAGGUACAGCUCCUUGAACAGGGAAAAACAUCUUCACCACUAACACAGAGGGAGACCACAGAAACAAACAUACUGAAGUGCCAGUGGUCUCCAUAAAGUCAUAACAUUGAGUGGGAAGGGAACCUUAAUGGCCAUUUAACCCAAUUCCCCUGCAAUGAAUAGGGACACCUACAUCUACAUCAGGUUGCUUCAGCCUGACCUUGAAUGUUCCCAUGAAUGGGGCAUCCACCACCGCUCUGGGCAACCUGUGCCAGAGCCUCACCACCUAUACUGUAAAAAAAUUCUUCCUUGGAUAAAUUCCCCCCAUUUAGUUUGAAACUAUUUCCCCUUGUCCUAUCACCAUUGACCCUGCUAAAUAUUCUGUGUAUUUAGUUGUGUAAAUACAAUAGAGAAAGGCUGUCCGGCAUGUAGACGCCUUCAGAUUAAUACUUCCUAGGCAAAAAAAAAAAAAAUACUUUAAAAAUUAAAGGCAGCGUUCUUUUUAUCAUAGAAUCAUAGAAUGGCCUGGGCUGAAAAGGACCACAAUGAUCAUCCAGUUUCAACCACCCUGCUAUGUGCAGGGUCGCCAACCACCAGACCAGGUUGCCCACCAGCCUGGCUUUGAAUGCCUCCAGGGAUGGUGCAUCACAACCUCUUUGGGCAGAGAUUUUAAACCUACAAGAUAACUCAUCUUGCAGGCUUAGAGGUCUUUAAAGCAUAUGAAAUUACAUUUAAGAUGGCAUCAUACACCUUCAGUGGCACAGCACUACAGAAGAACCUUGUAAAGGCAGAUAGAACAGGAGCCUGAAUAUCUCUGGCUGUCACCUCCCAUAGGAAAUAUGGUAUAAUCAAGGGUCAAACUGUUUAAUGUUGUAACAAGGGAACUUUCUGAAAACAAAUGGUAAAUAGUGGGGGUGUAAAAAUGGCUGCAUUUCAAUGAGAUAAUUGUAUAUUUUUUUGGCUUGGUUGAAAACUCUGGCAACUUUUGUUUCCUCAACAGAAACAAUAAUUAACAUGAAAAGGUAUUUUCAAUUGAGGAAGAAGAANNNNNNNNNNNNNNNNNNNNNNNNNNNNNNNNNNNNNNNNNNNNNNNNNNNNNNNNNNNNNNNNNNNNNNNNNNNNNNNNNNNNNNNNNNNNNNNNNNNNACAUUUAAACAGAAAAAUGGUGUAAAAGGCAACAUUCAAGGG